CAAGUAUUUCUAAACGAGCAAACUCGUAUUCCCUUUGCAGAUAAGUGCUUAACCACCUCUGAGGAAAUCAGCAGCCACAUUUACUAGAAGUCCUGAAGCAUUCAUAAUAAAGGUGACACUCACGUAGGUCCCAGUCCGAUUCCUAUUUUUUUGGCAAAGAUGAGCCCUGUCACACAUGGAGGAAAAAGCCAAGUUUCCAGUUCCUCCAUUUACUGAUUGAGGUGUUUUUAUAAUGGGUUUGCUGGGAAGAAUCCCUUGUCCCCGAGACUUGAAGGCUUACAGCUCCUAGAACAACCAGCAGGGUAAAAGUGUUACUAAGAAGAACGUGCCAGUUGAAACGAUGUUAGAGACACAAAGGUGCUUGGUCAGCUCAAAGGGAAGACGGAGCCAACACUGGAUUUCAGUUACACCCGUAUAAAUCUGCAGAAGCACCACUGAGUCCAAGUUAUCCCUGAGCCAGUGCGUGGAGAAAGUGGGAGUGGCUUUUCCUAGCCUUAUUCAUGGGCUGGGGCUGCAAGCUUGGCUUCUGACAUGGACUACUAAAGCAUUCCUCAGCCCUUGAUUUGCAUCCCUCGUGAGCCAUCACCAGGGCGCAGAAUUGCCAGGGUAACAGAGAGAAUUUCAAAACUGCAGAAUUUCCUACUCAAUGGAAAAUCUAAUUCCUGCCUAGUUCUAGCUAAUGGGACCUGAGUGAGGCAACUGGUGUGCCCCUAAGAAUAGGGGAAUGGGGGAAAAAAUGAUCUAAAACCCGCCUUUAUCACUGUUCAUCAAAAUUCAUCCAUACUUAAUUCCAGCCAUCUUUCUUCUUCUUGCCUCCACUGUUGAGGUCUCGUGUGCCUGGAAAGACAUGCUGGUGACUGGACAACGAGGGGAGGAGACCAAGCAAUUGAGAGAGAGGACUCCAAGCCAAAUGGAGCCCAGCCAGGCAUCCAGGUGCCAUCUAAAUCCUGCUUUGGGGGACCUUAGGAUCAUAUUUUGAUCAUCUGCAAAAUGCAAUGUGUGGCCCUCUCGUUUUGCUGCCUCAGGAGUUCAGAGAGCAGGGGCUCAGCACUAGAAAGAAAGAAAUGGAAAUCCUGCCCUUCUCUGCCAGCUCAUCACUUGGAUGGAUUGUUGCCCCAUGACAUUUUGGAUGCAGACACUGAACUUUUUCCCAUCAGCUGCAGAUUAUUUUUUUCACUAGUGUUAAUGCCCAAGGCUUGCUCGGCUUCUGUUAACAGCUCAAACCACGUUAAAAUUAGCCAGGUCACAACAUUUCACUCUACACAGCUUUCUCACAGGGAGACCAUGGUAGUAUUGCCCCUGCAGCUAGCUGGAGGAGGGUUCUUACUGCUUUGAGAAACCUGCCAGGCUGCUGAGAGCGGAAAGGUGUUGGGCUUCCUCUCAUUGAAGUCAAUGAUAAGACUCCCAUUAGCUUCAAUAGUGAAGGACUCAGUUUAACCACUUGGAGGAUGGUUUCUUUGUCUAAUGGGUGUUGCCAUUACUGGCAGCAUCCCCAGCUUUUUCCUAACAUGGGUUGUUGAGUGUUCAGUUAAUCCCAGCUGUGGAGAGUGAGUCCCACUAUCAUCCUACUCAUUGCGUUCCAUGUCCCUUGGAAUGUAUAUUCAAAAUAAAACCACGCUCCGUUUGUGCCCCUCGUGCUGUAAUAUAUAAAGAAAUAAUCAUCUUCCACACUUCCCCUACAGGGGUAGGUCAUUUAUGCCUGUUCCACAGCUUAGGUAGCUGUUAUUUGGCGUCAGACUGCACCUUCAACUGGGGGGUGCAGCAGGAGCAUCAGCUACUACCUUUGUCCAGGUUUAGGAUGGGCUGGCUUUUUUAGAACUGUGCCAGACUGAAGGCUGCCUCUGAGGUUGGCAUCCGGUCCUUCACAUUGACUGGCUCCGUUCAGAUUGCACAUAGCCCAUCUUUGAUGAAUGCUAGAAAGGUACAAAGGUUCAAGCAGGAAAAGUCCACGGAACGGGGGGGGUGGGGGAACUCAUUAAAAUGCAAAUCUCUUUUACAAAGUAAUUUUGUGAUUCAGCCCUGUGAGCCGAAUUUCUUCUGCCUUGACCCAAAUGCACCUCACUGGGCAGGUGACGGUGCCUAGAAAACAUCCACUGCCUCCGUCUCUUACUAGGCCUAUCAGAAGAGAGCUCUAAAGGGCAGACUGCACUGGGAGAGAACCCAGCUCAAUUAGAUCUCAUUUUUCCAGGCACUAAGAGCACUUACCAUCAUACUACGACCUGCCAAUAUUUAGUUGAGCUGCAUCAGGUUGUACAGCUUUUAUUUUCUCUUUAAGUGGCGUGUGUGAAUUUACCUCAGCAGACUUCUCUGAGAUUUCUCCCUAUUUAACAAGUCUCUUCUUUAGGGAUUGUUAUGCCAGGUCACUUAGGUCCUACCCAGAAAUGAAGGGUCGUCUUGAAUGUACCCAUUCCCAGUGAUUUCACAGGCACUUGAAUGUCCAGCUUUAAGACAAGAAAUCAAAAUACACAUUCAUGUCAGAGGCUGUGUUACAGUUCAGGCUCCCAUGUCUUGCCUGUGAACAAUGGACAGGCACUCACGGCCAAAGUUUGGCAUGAGCUAUCAAGAGAGGUAUGAGAUGUGCAUCCUCAACACUGAAGUAGCCUGUGCAGCUAGCAAAUAAGACAUGGUGUUUUGGACAACUGCUACAGAACCCUGUAAUACUUUGCCAUGUGGAUGGA